rnacentral:rRNA from 1 species
CCUACGGGGGGCAGCAGUGAGGAAUAUUGGUCAAUGGCCGGAAGGCUGCACCAGCCAAGCCGCGUGAAGGACGAAGGUGCCAAGCAUUGUAAACUUCUUUUGUCAAGGGACAAAAUCAGGCUCGAGAGCCUGACCGAGGGUACUUGAAGAACAAGCAUCGGCUAACUCCGUGCCAGCAGCCGCGGUAAUACGGAGGAUGCGAGCGGUAUCCGGAUUUAUGGGGUUUAAAGGGUGCGUAGGCGGGCUGUUAAGUCAGCGGUAAAAGCCCGGGGCUCAACCCCGGCGAGCCGUUGAAACUGGCUGUCUUGAGAUGUCGAGAGGUAUGCGGAAUGCGCAGUGUAGCGGUGAAAUGCUUAGAUAGUGCGCAGAACUCCGAUUGCGAAGGCAGCAUACCGGCGGCGAUCUGACGCUGAGGCACGAAAGCGUGGGUAUCGAACAGGAUUAGAUACCCGAGUAGUC